UGCAAAAUGACUCUCGGCAACGGAUAUCUAGGCUCUUGCAUCGAUGAAGAACGUAGCGAAAUGCGAUACUUGGUGUGAAUUGCAGAAUCCCGUGAACCAUCGAGUCUUUGAACGCAAGUUGCGCCCGAAGCCAUUAGGUUGAGGGCACGUCUGCCUGGGUGUCACA
rnacentral:rRNA from 1 species